UACGAACCGUCCAAACGUUAUUCGGAAUCACUGGGCUUAAAGAGUCCGUAGGCGGCCAAUUAGGUGAGGUGUGAAAUCCCCCGGCUUAACCGAGGAAUGGCGCUUCAAACCGACUGGCUAGAGGAAGAUAGAGGAAAGCGGAACUGAUGGUGGAGCGGUGAAAUGCGUUGAUAUCAUCAGGAACACCGGUGGCGAAAGCGGCUUUCUGGGUCUUUUCUGACGCUGAGGGACGAAAGCUAGGGGAGCGAACGGG
rnacentral:rRNA from 1 species